GACGAACGCUGGCGGCGUGCUUAACACAUGCAAGUCGAACGAAGUGGCGAACGGGUGCGGAAUACGUGGGUAACCUGCCCUCCUGUGUGGGAAAAGCCUUGGAAACGUGGUAUAAUACCGCAUAAAGGGGGAUGGGCUCGCGGCCGAUCAGCGGGUUGGGGGGGUUAUGGCCUACAAAGGCGGUGACGGGGAGCCGGUCUGAGAAGGUGACCGGCCACAUUGGGACUGAGAUACGGCCCAGACGCCGACGGGAGGGAGCAGUGGGGGAUAUGGCCCAAUGGGCGAAAGCCUGAUGCAGCGACGCCGAGGGGGGGAUGAAGGCUGUCGGGUUGUAAACCUCGUUCGCGAGCGAACGGGUAGGUGGAGAAGAAGCGCCGGCUAAUUACGUGCCAGCAGCCGCGGUAAUAC
rnacentral:rRNA from 1 species